UACGUAGGGACCAAGCGUUGUUCGGAUUUACUGGGCGUAAAGGGCGCGUAGGCGGCGUGGUAAGUCAGCUGUGAAAUCUCCGAGCUUAACUCGGAACGGUCAGCUGAUACUGCUGUGCUAGAGUACAGAAGGGGCAAUCGGAAUUCUUGGUGUAGCGGUGAAAUGCGUAGAUAUCAAGAGGAACACCUGAGGUGAAGACGGGUUGCUGGGCUGAUACUGACGCUGAGGCGCGAAAGCUAGGGUAGCAAACGGGAUUAGAUACCCCGGUAGUCCUAGCCCUAAACGAUGUAUGCUUGGUGUCUGGAGUGUUAAAUCUCCGGGUGCCGUCGCUAACGCUUUUAGCAUACCGCCUGGGGAGUACGCACGCAAGUGUGAA
rnacentral:rRNA from 1 species